UAGCUCAAUUGGUAGAGUGCUUGCCUCACAUGCCUGAAGUCCUGGGUUCAAUCCCCAG
rnacentral:tRNA from 1 species